ensembl:lincRNA
UUUGAAGGCAGAUGUUGAGAUAUGUAGAACAAAUUUUCAUUUCAUUUUCUUUGCUUUGAAAUUACGUGGUAAGGAAUUAUUCUAUCUCUCUGUCUUCAGUCACAAUUCCUAAUACAGAGAGAUUGAGAUUCACACAAUGUUUAAUGGUGAUGUUUGAUUGAUGAUAAUGGUGAUGAUGAUGAUGUUGGCGAAAGUGAUAAUCUGUAGAUCCUAGACUAGUGAUCCUCAAACUGGCUUUUAGAGUCCUCUAGAAUAUUUCAGGGGAAUAUGUAUGUGUACCUGAAGAGUUGCCAUCAUAAUAGUCCCUAGGUCAUGACUGCUAUAAAAGUCCCCUCAUAUUUUCUUCUUUCACUUCCAGAAGGACCUGCCCAAAAGUUGUUAUGGGUCCCUUUUGAGAUGACUUAUUUGACAUGAUAUGCUGCUACAGGACUCUCUAGGAAGGAAGUAGAAAGGAUAAAGAGGCAUGAACUAAUUUUUCUUGAGACAGAUUAUUACUUUGGUUGAGAGUAUGUGGUUAGCACUGUUUUAUUAACCCAUAGAGAGAAAAUAUCAUCCCUUAUCACCAAUGGAGAGAACAACACUGCUGCUUUCUCCCUUUGGGGGUCAACCUGACUACCCAGCCUGAGAUACAAAGGAAUAAUUUAGAAGCUAUGUGGGGACGAUUUUCAUAACUGUUUGGUUUCAAGGUUUUAAGCCUCAUUGACUUAGCUGAAAAACAUCACCCCUGGAAGUCUACCCACUCUGCAAAAGGUACAGAGACAGAGUGAUUCUUCAUCAGACUUCAACAAAAAAGUAAAAUGGAUUUUAUCAUACUUGGAAAACCAACAAUUGCAGUCUGGAUUCAAGCAUCACUGUUUGAUGCACCCAACUUGAGUCAAAAAGAUGCUUCAAAUCCCACUAGGCUGGAGAUGGAGCCAGAUUGAGAAAAACCAACCAACCAACCAACCAACGAACAGCAUGAUGGCUGAACCAGACAAGAGAAGUCCUGAAGAAAAAUACUUAUCAAUUACCAGAAUCUGUGCCUGCCAUACAUCAAAGUCUCUGACUUCUUUAUCCCACAUGACUCUGCAAACCUAUGUCUGAACUUACAUUCUCCUGAAACCGGAACGGAUGAAACUCAUUAGGUAAUGCCAGCGCUCUUACUGAUCUUCACCUCAAACCUCAGGAAACAAAGCCAGGCAUGAUAUCCUCAGCUUUUAUGUUCUUCCUUCUUUUGCUUAGGCCUGAAAGUUGCAGAUAGGAUGCAUCUAAAAUUGGAGUUUAGGAGGCAUAGUUUUUCAAAGGGUUUUUACUGGGCAGGAAAUGCCAUAUCCUAAAGGGUAGCAGUGUGUUCCUAUAGCUGGUACAGACAUCUGAAGUAAUUUAAAACCAACAUGAAUGAUAACCACAUUUUUGGCUUAUAAAUUUAAAACCAAGAAGAAGGAGUGGGCAAUGAUCAGGAUUCCAUAUUCAUUGUAGGGGAGCAAUUAAAACAUAGAUAAUUCAGUAUCUUUUGGACUUUGUUGGCUAACCAACAGUAUAAUAAAUCACAAAAAUUAUUAUUUCAAUGAUUUAAAUAGAUAACUGCAGCUACAACUUCUGAAAUGUUGAAUGGAUAAAUGAGG